rnacentral:rRNA from 1 species
GAUGAACGCUGGCGGCGUGCCUAACACAUGCAAGUCGAGCGGACAGACGCGGCUCUUGCUCCGCUGACGUUAGCGGCGGACGGGUGAGUAACACGUGGAUAACCUCCCUAUAAGACUGGGAUAACUUCGGGAAAGCGGAGCUAAUACCGGAUAAUAUAUUGAACCGGGUGGUUCAUUGGUGAAAGCCGGUUUUGCUGACACUUAUACGUCGUUCCGCGCCGCUUUAGCUAGUGGGUAAGGUAACGGCUUACCAAGGCGACGAUGCGUAGCCGACCUGAGAGGGUGAUCGGCCACACUGGAACUGAGACACGGUCCAGACUCCUACGGGAGGCAGCAGUAGGGAAUCUUCCGCAAUGGGCGAAAGCCUUACGGAGCAAGGCCGCGUGAGUGAGGAAGGUCUUCGGAUCGUAAAACACUGUUAUUAGGGAGGAACAAAUGUGUAAGUAACUAUGCACGUCUUGACGGUACCUAAUCAGAAAGCCACGGCUAACUACGUG